AGGAUUCGUCCAAGUGAAAUAGAGGACAGUGGCGGACGGGUGAGUAACGCGUGAGGAACCUGCCUCAAAGAGGGGGACAACAGUUGGAAACGACUGCUAAUACCGCAUAAGCGCACAGCAUCGCAUGAUGCAGUGUGAAAAACUCCGGUGGUACAAGAUGGACCCGCGUCUGAUUAGAUAGUUGGUGAGGUAACGGCCCACCAAGUCAACGAUCAGUAGCCGGCCUGAGAGGGUGAACGGCCACAUUGGGACUGAGACACGGCCCAAACUCC
rnacentral:rRNA from 1 species